GAGAUACUAGUAAAACUAUUACAAUGCUUUGUCAAGGCAUAAUUGUGGGUGGAACCCCUACGUUUCUUA
rnacentral:tRNA from 1 species